rnacentral:rRNA from 1 species
GCUUGUCUCAAAGAUUAAGCCAUGCAUGUCUAAGUAUAAAUAAUUCUAUACUGUGAAACUGCGAAUGGCUCAUUAUAUCAGUUAUAGUUUAUUUGAUAGUCCCUUACUACUUGGAUAACCGUAGUAACUCUAGAGCUAAUACAUGCGCAAAUUCCCGACUGUCGCAAGGCGGAAAGGAUGUAUUUAUUAGAUCCAACCAGCCCGGUUCGCCGGAGUCCCUGGUGAGUCAUAAUAACUUUCGGAUCGAUCUUCGGAUCGAUGCAUCAUUCAAGUUUCUGCCCUAUCAGCUUUGGAUGGUAGGGUAUUGGCCUACCAUGGCUUUAACGGGUAACGGAGAAUUAGGGUUCGAUUCCGGAGAGGGAGCCUGAGAAAUGGCUACCACAUCCAAGGAAGGCAGCAGG